GCUGAGGUAAUUUGUUUGCCCUCUCGAGGCAAUGACCGGGGUUCGAAUCCCCGUCGGAGCA
rnacentral:tRNA from 2 species